AGCGAACGCUGGCGGCGUGGUUAAGGCAUGCAAGUCGAGCGAGAAAGGCCCUUCGGGGCCGAGUAGAGCGGCGAAAGGGUGAGUAAUGCAAGGAUAACCUACCCUCGGCACGGGGAUAGCAGGUCGAAAGGCCUGGUAAUACCCGGUAAUGUCGGCGGAGCGAGUGCCCCGUCGACCAGAGGUGGGGCUCCCUUCGGGGACCCAUCGCCUGAGGAGGGGUUCUUGUCCUAUCAGCUUGUUGGCGGGGUAACGGCCCACCAAGGCGACGACGGGUAGCCGGCCUAAGAAGGUGUUCGGCCACACUGGGACUGAGACACGGCCCAGAGCCCUACGGGGCGCAGCAGCCUUGAAUCAUCCGCAAUGGGCGAAAGCCUGACGGUGCGACGCCGCGUGGGGGAAGAAGGCCUUCGGGUUGUAAACUCCUGUCACAGAGGAUGAAAUGGACAGGUGCCAAUAACGCCUGCCCUUGACCAAAUCUGAGAGGAAGCAGCGGCUAACUGCGUGCCAGCAGCAGCGGUGACACGUAGGCUGCAAGCGUUGCUCGGUUUUACUGGGCGUAAAGGGCGUGUAGGUGGUUCGGUAAGUCAGCCGUGAAAUCCCCCGGCUCAACCGGGGAACUGCGGUUGAUACUGCCAGACUGGAGUGCAGGAAGGGGGAGUGGAACUCCUGGUGGAGCGGUGAAAUGCGUUGAUAUCAGGAGGAAUGUCGGUGGCGAAGGCGACUCCCUGGCCUGUAACUGACACUGAGGCGCGAAAGCUGGGGGAGCGAACGGGAUUAGAUACCCCGGUAGUCCCAGCCGUAAACGAUGGGCACUAGGUGGAGGAGUCCCGACGGCCUCUCUGCCGAAGCUAACGCGUUAAGUGCCCCGCCUGGGGAGUACGGCCGCAAGGCUAAAACUCAAAGGAAUUGACGGGUCCCCGCACAAGCGGUGGAGCAUGUUGCUCAAUUCGAGGCUAAGCGAAGAACCUUAUCCAGGGCUUGACAUGCUGGUGGUACCAACCUGAAAGGGAAGGGACCCUCGCAAGAGGGAGCCAGCACAGGUGCUGCAUGGCUGUCGUCAGCUCGUGUCGUGAGAUGUUGGGUUAAGUCCCGUAACGAGCGAAACCCUUGCCGCUAGUUGCCAGCGGGUAAUGCCGGGAACUCUAGUGGGACUGCCGGUGUCAAACCGGAGGAAGGAGGGGAUGACGUCAAGUCCUCAUGGCCUUUAUGUCCUGGGCUGCAAACAUGCUACAAUGGCCGGCACAAAGGGCUGCCAACCCGCGAGGGGGAGCGAAUCCCAAAAAGCCGGUCCCAGUUCGGAUUGCAGGCUGCAACCCGCCUGCAUGAAGUCGGAAUCGCUAGUAAUCGCGGAUCAGCUACGCCGCGGUGAAUAUGUUCCCGGGGAUUGUACACACCGCCCGUCAAAGCAGCUAAGCGGGGCGCACCCGAAGUCGCUGGCCCAACCCCCCUCGGGGGGAGGGAGGUGCCGAAGGUGAGCUUCGUGAGGAGGCUU
rnacentral:rRNA from 1 species